rnacentral:rRNA from 1 species
AUUAAACGCUGGCGGCAUGCCUUACACAUGCAAGUCGAACGGCAGCACGGGGGCAACCCUGGUGGCGAGUGGCGGACGGGUGAGUAAAGCAUCGGAACGUAUCCUGGAGUUGGGGGGAUAACGUAGCGAAAGUUACGCUAAUACCGCAUAUUCUGUGAAGCAGGAAAGCGAGGGGAUCGCAAGACCUCGCGCUCUGGGGAGCGGCCGAUGUCGGAUUAGCUAGUUGGUGGGUAAAGCCUACCAAGGCGACGAUCCGUAGCGGGUCUGAGAGGAUGAUCCGCCACACUGGGACUGAGACACGGCCCAGACUCCUAC